UACAGAGGUCCCAAGCGUUGUUCGGAUUCACUGGGCGUAAAGGGUGCGUAGGCGGUCGGGUAAGUCUGAUGUGAAAUCUCACAGCUUAACUGUGAAACUGCAUUGGAUACUAUCCGGCUCGAGGAAUGGAGGGGAGACUGGAAUACUUGGUGUAGCAGUGAAAUGCGUAGAUAUCAAGUGGAACACCAGUGGCGAAGGCGAGUCUCUGGACAUUCCUGACGCUGAGGCACGAAAGCCAGGGGGAGCAAACGGGAUUAGAGUACCC
rnacentral:rRNA from 1 species